rnacentral:lncRNA from 10 species
CAGAUGAAGAAAGAUGCUUGGUUACCAACUGUAUUAGGGUUGUCUUGAGAAUCAGAACCAGUGAGAGAGAUUUAUUGUGAUAAUUGGCUCAUGUAAUUAUGGAGGUGAGAAGUCCCAUGACCUGUCAUCUGCAACCUAGAGAACCCAAUAGAAUUCAGUCUAAGUCCAAAGUUCUAAGAACCAGGGAAGCUGACUGUGUAACUCCUAGUUGAGUGUGAAGACCUGAGGUAUCAGGGGUAGGGGUUGCUCUGCUUGUGUAAGUCCCAUAGUGUGAAGGCCAGAGAACCAAGAGAUGGUCAAGAAGAGAGAGUAAGUGUCCAAUGUCCCAGCUCAAGAAGAGAGAAAACUUUUGUGGAUAGCUAAGUUACUGCUAGCCAUCUGAUUAUAGCAAUGGCUUCCAGGAGCAUCACGACCUGUGCAGACUCCCCAGCAUCAUAACAGGAAGGUCCCACGAUCACGAGCACAUUGCCUUCAGCAUCCAGCACUGAAUAUGGUGAAUUGCACUCUGAAGAGCUUCCUAAGCUUGUAAGAAAGUGAUUCUGAAAAGCUCAACAUUUUGGUAGAAUGGAGAGAUUUGACAUUGCUUCUGCUCCAAAAGCAAAAGACUUGGCUUAGGUGACUGCAGCAAGAGAUGUCCAGAGUCUCAACAUUGGGUGAUUGAAGAGCAGAAAGACUGGCAUGAAAUAUCUGUCAACAUAGCUCAACAAGGAAUCAGGAAGAGAGAGUCUUCAAGAUGGCUGACUAGAGGCAUCUGGUACUUGCCUCCUCCACAAAGAAGAACCAAAAUAGCAAGUAUAUUAUUACACUUCGAAUAGAUCAUCUAAGAAAGAACACUGGAAUUCAACCAAGAAGUGGCAAUAAAUACCUAAGGAAGGGCACCCUGGGAGUUGAGAACAUCCACCACAGAGAGGCCUGGCGUAAAGGAGAUGGGACUCACACCCAAGAGGAUGCAUUUCCAUACACCCAUUUCUGAAAUAUGAAGAGGUGUCCAGUCUGUUUGAUUCAUAGCUGCCUGUUCCACAACUGCAGAUACAGUAAUUGAUAACCGAGACCAAGUUCUCAUCCCCAUCUCCCAGGGCUGGAACUGGGGCUGUGUUUGGUUCUCAUAAGAUCAGUUCCAGUUUUAGAAACUGAGUAAAUUGUGGAGUAAAUAUUGCCAAGUGAUGGCUUUCUGCUGUAGGCGUGGGUCGCUGUUGGCCAUUUGCCUCAGCAUAUCACCAGCAAUGCACCUCAUUGCAUCACUGCAUUUCCAAUUACACCUCAAAGCACCACUGGUCCCCUGUCCACCCUCUGCCCUGCAGAGGUGGGUGUUCAGGGAGACAGAUCCAAAAUCUGGGCUCAGAAGAUGGAAAUGCCAACUGCUCUCAAUUUGAGAGUGGGGAUGAGACUUUUUGACUCAACUCUGGUUAAUUCAGCCAUGCUGUCAGAGCUGCUUUGAUGCAAGGACAUCUGAAUGCUAUCUGAAUGCUGCCCCUAAAAUAACAAAUUAAA